rnacentral:rRNA from 1 species
UAUGAACGCUAGCGGCAGGCUUAAUACAUGCAAGUCGAGGGACAGCACAGGUAGCAAUACUGGGUGGUAACCGGCAAACGGGUGCGGAACACGUACACAACCUUCCUUUAAGUGGGGGAUAGCCCAGAGAAAUUUGGAUUAAUACCCCGUAAUAUAGUUGAAUGGCAUCAUUUGAUUAUUAUAGCUACGGCGCUUAAUGAUGGGUGUGCGGCUGAUUAGAUAGUUGGCGGGGUAACGGCCCACCAAGUCUACGAUCAGUAGCUGAUGUGAGAGCAUGAUCAGCCACACGGGCACUGAGAAACGGGCCCGGCUCCUACGGGAGGCAGCAGUAAGGAAUAUUGGUCAAUGGACGCAAGUCUGAACCAGCCAUGCCGCGUGAAGGAUUAAGGUCCUCUGGAUUGUAAACUUCCUUUAUUUGGGACGAAAAAGGGCCUUUCUAGGUCAACUGACGGUACCAGAUGAAUAAGCACCGGCUAACUCCGUGCCAGCCGCCGCCGUAAAAC